UACGACAGAGCCUGGAUUCGAACCAGGAUCUCUAGUGGCUUAGACCACUGCGCCACUCGGGAGACAUUAAUGGAUUGUGUUGUGCGGUAAGCAGGCUCAGGUGUAUAACUGUUGCUCCUUCCACCUUCAAAGAAUAGGCAAGAGGACCAACCAUUGAAAAUAGUAAGACACUUCAUUAUUUCUAUUACUACGCUAUAUUGUUUGUCCUCAUGUGUCUGUGCAUGUAUCUCAGUAUAAAGUACUCUGCAGCCACUUAGUGUGGACACCAGGUGAGACCACACACACAGAUUCCUGUCUUUAACUACCUUAUUUUCUCAAUAACAGUCUCAUUCCUUCACUUCAUUCCUCUCCCCCCUUCUCCUUAAAUCCUCUAGGUUAUAUCACCUGUGUCGGUGAACCCCUCGCGCAUCUGAACUGGCUGACACAGAGGGCACAGCAUAAUCAGAGGUAUGUUUUGAUGUGAGAGAAGGUGCCAAACCCCAGUCCCGUCAUCACCAUCUCACCCGCUCUUAAGAUAACCUUCAGGCCAACUGGGGGGCCAAGGCUGUAAGGAGACACCGCUAGAGACACUAUUAUGUAAUUAUGAUGAACUAAGAAAAUAUUAGGGUAGCACUGUAAUUCAUUAAUCAUAUGCUGUCUUCCCUAUUUCCCUUUGUCUUUUACACUCUUUCUUACACCUCUCUACCCACCUCUUUCUUCCUGUUUUUAUAAUGCACACCAGAUGUGUAUUGAAGUACAGAUUGAACUUGUAUUUAGAAUAUAAUAUUACAAUUAUAAGAUUUAUAAUGCAUGUAUUAUGUUUUUAUAAUACUUGGAUAAUUCACUUCUUUCAAUAAAGCGUUUCACAUUC